UACCAGCACCCCGAGUGGUCGGGACGUUUUAUUGGGCCUAAAGCAUCCGUAGCCGGUUCUACAAGUCUUCCGUUAAAUCCACCUGCUUAACAGAUGGGCUGCGGAAGAUACUAUAGAGCUAGGAGGCGGGAGAGGCAAGCGGUACUCGAUGGGGUAGGGGGUAAAAAUCCGUUGAUCCAUUGAAGACCACCAGUGGCGAAGGCGGCUUGCCAGAAC
rnacentral:rRNA from 1 species